rnacentral:lncRNA from 1 species
GUGGAAGAAGUGAGUAGAGAAGAACUAGGCCCCUUUCAUUCCCCUAAAACCUCACCGAAACCUCUCUUGUGAACUUCUCAGAUUCUCUCUCAAUAUUUCUUAUGAUCUCGUUUUUGAUAGAAUCACUUCUAUUGCAUGCUGCAUUUUGUGCGUCGUUUUUGGGUAAUAUCUUAUCCGGAAUGCUGUUAUGAUCAAUAGAACAAGUAACCAAUUUUUGGUUUGACGGAAGUCGAUUUAUUUAUUUACUAUUAUUUUUUAUUUGAAAUUUUGUACAAUUGUGUUUCAUUCAUUUCUUUCGUUCUUUUUUUAUUUUAUAUUUAUCCUAAAACCUCACCGAAACCUCUCUUGUGAACUUCUCAGAUUCUCUCUCAAUAUUUCUUAUGAUCUCGUUUUUGAUAGAAUCACUUCUAUUGCAUGCUGCAUUUUGUGCGUCGUUUUUGGGUAAUAUCUUAUCCGGAAUGCUGUUAUGAUCAAUAGAACAAGUAAUCAAUUUUUGGUUCGACGGAA